ACACACACACCCACACACAGAGCCUGUUAUAGUACACACACACACACACACACACACACAGCCUGUUAUAGUACACACACACACAGAGCCUGUUAUAGUACACACACACACACCCACACACAGAGCCUGUUAUAGUACACACACACACACCCACACACAGAGCCUGUUAUAGUACACACACACACACACACACACACACACAGAGCCUGUUAUAGUACACACACACACACACACACAGCCUGUUAUAGUACACACACACACAGAGCCUGUUAUAGUACACACACACACAGAGCCUGUUAUAGUACACACACACAAACACACACACACACACACACACACACACACACACACAGAGCCUGUUAUAGUACACACACACACACACACACACAGCCUGUUAUAGUACACACACACACAGAGCCUGUUAUAGUACACACACACACACCCACACACAGAGCCUGUUAUAGUACACACACACAAACACACACACACACACACACACACACACACACACACACACACACACACACACACACACAGAGCCUGUUAUAGUACACACACACACACACACACACACACACACACACAGCCUGUUAUAGUACACACACACACAGAGCCUGUUAUAGUACACACACACACACCCACACACAGAGCCUGUUAUAGUACACACACACACACACACACACACACACACACACACACACACACACAGAGCCUGUUAUAGUACACACACACACAGAGCCUGUUAUAGUACUGCUACACGCACACACACGCACACACACGAUCAGCAUCCCUAGACCCCAAUACCAACCGUCGCGCACACCCCAAACGUGUGAUCACGUUUAGAGUGUAAAUGAAUCUAGAUGAUAUUUACCUUGGUGCCCCUGCGCAUCAGCCCAGUUCAACCCGUGCGGUUUCUCGUUGCACUUGGCGCGCGGAUUCCUCAAACAUUACAACUUUCCUCAACUGUCAGCUAUCCUGAAACCUUUGAAGUUUGUAGAGCUCUGAAAGAGUACAUUUUAAGUGGAACAUUUACUCCACCAUGCAACAAAAAAAUGCGCAAGGAAAUGCGGCGUGUGUCUGAAAACUUCAUAGCAAAAGACAACCGAUUGUUUUACACUGGACCAAAUAAAACGUAUAUGAGACUAGUUGUUUGUACUGAGGAGGAAAAAAGGUCUGUUUUGAUGGAGUGC